CCGCGCUGACGGAUGGAUGGUUUCGUGGCCAGGCGAACUAGAGCAUGCCACUCCCGAAAGAGAAAGCAAAACAACGAACCAAGCUGUACGCGUUGCUAUCAGUAAAAGUUGAAUCGGUAUGCGGGGAGGAGAAGGUGGGGAAGUGGCCAGAAUUAAAUUUGUAGCGCGGUGCGUGAGUUCGACGAUAUUGCGGCAACGAAUUCACGCCACGAACGAAAAAAGAAGCGACGAUCGGAUCGAGAAAGCACAGAACGAGCGAUCGUGAUCAAUCGUCCAGGUCGAUGCCCAAUUCCUCGGUACCGUAGGCAAGGUCCAUGUUAAUUUCCCUCAGAAGAUUUUCGUUUAAUUCCCAAGAAUCGGACCAAAAUGGGGUAUAAACCGUAACGAGGAAUCGGAAAUAGGAUCGUGGGACCUCUGGUGCUGUACAUAAAUCAUUGGCACAAUGUAGCGAUCGAUCAAAGCGGAAAGAGGAGUCGCGAGUCGUGAAUUUCACCUUAUCAAGGAGAUCGGUCGCGGUUUUCACCGUCGUAUAAAAGAUAGUGGUCUCGCGGUGCGUAGGUCGCCGGUGCGUGAGCGUGCAAGUUCAAGAACAAUGACACUUCCACGGUAUAUAGCCGAGUACGUGUGUAUACUUACGUACGUACACAGGAUUUUGCCAGGCGACGGUUGAUUGUGGCGGCGGCGGUGGCGGCGGUGGCAGCGGCCAGCUCUCUGUGCCACUGACCCACAAACACACUUACCUAUGUUAUACUAUGCCUGUAUACAUUGUUUCUGCCUUCUGGUCGUCGCUAUGCCUUAAUGCCCGUACACAACGCGCUUCCGCUUCUGUUGUCGCCAGUUUGCAUCAAAUGAGAUAAGGAGAGACGAAGACUCGAUCGAGUGUGUUUGCGAAUGAAAAUGUGGCGUAUACACCCUCGUUUACUCUCCAUCUCGAUUGUCCCAGUUGGUAAACAGGACAAAACUGGAAGAGCGAGGCCUGAACGGGGUCCUGGCGCGAGACGGAGAGCAACGAGAAAAAGAGGCGACCGCUCGACUUUUUGCCAUCGCAUCACGUCGCCACGAAUCCGAGGCGGAAGAGGAAACCGGAGUGAAGAAGCCAGCGUUUAAACCCGUGAACACUUUGUGUUAUCACCGCCAAUCACGAUUUUAAAGAUUCUGACCCACUCUUGGCUUCGAAACCGUGUCUUCUACGCAUUGGCUAGACUCUCCGAGUCAGCUUGUAAAAAAUAAAAUCUUCGAUUA